GCGAAAACACUCCCCUCUUCUCUUCUUUUUAUUUCCUGUCAGUUUGUUUUAUUUCCUGCUGCCAGAAACCAGGAACCGGGACUGAAGCGAGCCGCAGCUCGGGGGAUGAAGCCGAACUAGCCCCGCUGGUCGCGGCUCCGCGCUCGUUUUUCUGGAUUUAUUCCGCUGUGGAGGAAAAAAAAACGCAAAAGAAGCGACCCGGUGCGCACAGAACCCCUCUACUCUUCCUCUUCCUCUUCCUCUCCUCUUCCCCCCUCCUGUCUCCUCUCCAUCUCUCUGUCCGUCUGCUGUGUCCAUGUUUGUAGGUGAUUUAGCUAAAAUGCACCAUCAUCAGCAGCGGAUGGCCGCGUUGGGGACGGACAAGGAGCUGAGCGACCUGCUGGAUUUCAGCGCGAUGCCAAACAGCGAUUUGAAAAUGUUCCCAACAUCCAUGAUGUUUUCCCCUCCUGUUAGCAGUGGAAAGAACGGACCCACCUCCCUGGGGAGCGGACAUUUCUCCGGCUCAAGUACGUCACCGUCUCCCCUUCCUCUCUCCUUCUACUUCCUCUUGAUCCUUUCUUUUUCCUCAGUCCUCCCUCUUUCCCUACACCUGCUCGCUGAUGGCUGUUUGAAUAUUCCUGCAAUGUUUGGGUUUUCUUCUGGAGCAUCGCUGGGCGUCAUGUUC